AUACUUACCUGACAAGGGAGAUACCCUGAUUACAAAGUAGCUUUCACAGGGUGAGACUCGGCCAUUGCAAUCUGGAUGAGCUGAUCCCUGUGAUUUCUCCAAGUUUGGGAAACUCAACUGAAUAAUUUGUGGUAGGUGAGGGACUGUGCUCCCACUCUCCCUUA
ensembl:snRNA U1 U1 spliceosomal RNA